rnacentral:rRNA from 1 species
CAGCCGCCACGGGAAUACGUAGGGUCCGAGCGUUGUCCGGAAUUACUGGGCGUAAAGAGCUCGUAGGUGGUUUGUCGCGUUGUUCGUGAAAACUCACAACUCAAUUGUGGGCGUGCGGGCGAUACGGGCAGACUGGAGUACUGCAGGGGAGACUGGAAUUCCUGGUGUAGCGGUGGAAUGCGCAGAUAUCAGGAGGAACACCGGUGGCGAAGGCGGGUCUCUGGGCAGUAACUGACGCUGAGGAGCGAAAGCGUGGGGAGCGAACAGGAUUAGAUACCCCAGUAGUCCCUGUCUCUUAUAC